rnacentral:rRNA from 1 species
AUUGAACGCUGGCGGCAUGCUUUACACAUGCAAGUCGAACGGUAACAGGUUAAGCUGACGAGUGGCGAACGGGUGAGUGAUGCAUCGGAACGUGCCCGAUCGUGGGGGAUAACGCAGCGAAAGCUGCGCUAAUACCGCAUACGAUCUGAGGAUGAAAGCGGGGGACCGUAAGGCCUCGCGCGAUCGGAGCGGCCGAUGUCAGAUUAGGGAGUUGGUGGGGUAAGGGCCCACCAAGCCGACGAUCUGUAGGUGGUCUGGGAGGGAGACCAGCCACACUGGGACUGAGACACGGCCCAGACUCCUACGGGAGGCAGCAGUGGGGAAUUUUGGACAAUGGGCGAAAGCCUGAUCCAGCAAUGCCGCGUGCAGGAAGAAGGCCUUCGGGUUGUAAACUGCUUUUGUACGGAGCGAAAAGGUCCUUUCUAAUACAAGGGGCUCAUGACGGUACCGUAAGAAUAAGCACCGGCUAACUACGUGCCAGCAGCCGCCGUAA